GCUGCGUGAUUCCCGACAAAUCAGAAUGUCCACGCGCGCCACUUCCCCCUUGUCCACUUUUCUGCUGCCGUUAGAGGAGGGUAUGGUGUACAGAUCCGGUUAACCGAGAUCCUUCUCUGGCCAAAAGUGGAACUAGGGAAUAUCAAGUGCUUGUACCGUGCACGAUCUUGCAUCUGAAACCGAACAAGGACACGCUCACUGAUGGCCAUGACCUAUUCGCAUCGAGGGUGCUGGUGUCUAAUGUAGUUUCCCAGCGACCAAUGUCGAGAACAGCGAUUUCCACUGUCCGUGAUUUAGAGAUAUUCCCGCAAAAUCGAGUUCGAUAGCACCAUCCAGUAGCGAUGCCCACCUUUCUGUACCUGUGUCCGUCUACAAGUAUCUACAAGUCUCUACCUGCAUAUAUCUAUGUAUACCGUUUUUUAAAUAUCUCUAAAUGACUGGAGAUCAGGUUUACACGGUGCACUGCCUUUGCCUUGGCAAAGCAACCUAUAAACGUUUUUACCAUUCCAGGAAGUUGUCAGUUGCUUGAAUGUGCAUCUACGACAAACAGAACCCUUGCUGGUUCUUGUUCACUGCCAAAAGUGCUCUAGUCCUGCAAUACGCAACAUUCCACGAUCAUUUCGUUCACGCCGGGACAAAUGCUCUUCAGCGCCAGCUAAACGGCGGUAGUCUUAUUGGUUGCCUGGAACACGCCACGCUGGAAAGUCUGUUGUGUCCUCUGGUGACUUCGAGACAAAGACUCACGGGUGUCGCUACUCCCUUCGGUUAUCGAGACUCGUCGUCGUAGGCAUGUGGUGCGAAGACGCUCUUGCCAUUAUGGGGAUAGACAGCACCUGUGCAUAAGGCGGGGUGUCUGCCUGAGCUUCUGGGUAGAAAAAACGAUUGAUCGUUCGUUCUAUGAUUCCUGAGUUUGCCGUCACAUACUGUGCCCUAUCUCUGUCUUCGGCUGCAGAGAUUUCGAAUCGCAGACCGACUCGUGUCAAGAUGUGAGAGCACGACGCGUGGUCUUUCGGUUCGAUCGUAACAAGCAGUCGACAGUUGACAGCUCUGAACGGCAUGAUUUGAUAGUGAAAGCAUGCGUGUGCGCAUUGAUGCCUG
rnacentral:lncRNA from 1 species